CCCGCUGAACUUAAGCAUAUCAAUAAGCGGAGGAAAAGAAACUAACAAGGAUUCCCCUAGUAACUGCGAGUGAAGCGGGAAAAGCUCAAAUUUAAAAUCUGGCAGCCAUUUUACGGUCGUCCGAGUUGCAAUCUAGAGAAGUGCUUUCCGCGCUGGACCGUGUACAAGUCUCUUGGAAUAGAGCAUCAUAGAGGGUGAGAAUCCCGUCUUUGACACGGACUACCAGUGCUUUAUGUGAUGCGCUCUCAAAGAGUCGAGUUGUUUGGCAAUGCAGCUCAAAAUGGGUGGUAAAUUCCAUCUAUAAACUAAAUAUUGGCGACAGACCGAUAGGCGAACCAGUACCGUGAGGGAAAGAUGAAAAGAACUUUGGAAAGAGAGUUAAACAGUACGUGAAAUUGUUGAAAGGGAAACGCUUGAAGUCAGUCACGUUGGCCAGAAAUCAACUUGUAACAGGGCGUAAUUUCUGGUUUUCCGGGUCAACAUCAAUUUUGAUUGUUGGAUAAAAGUCAAUAUUUAUGCGUUUUCGGACGUGUAGCCUUUGAUUGCAUACAAUGGUUGGGAUUGAGGAACUCAGCCCGCCGCAAGGCCGGGUAACUUGUUACCACGUAACGUGCUUAGGAUGUUGGCAUAAUGGCUUUAAUCGACCCGUCUUGAAACACGG
rnacentral:rRNA from 1 species